GUGUUUGAGAUAUAAACCAGCCCGCUAGCUUCAGUUUUCGGUGUUAAAAUGACCUGCUAGUUAUUCACGAAUGCGCAGAACAUGUUUUUUGCCGGACUGCGACGACCUACCCCUACAGUGCAACCACAAACGUGAAGAUGUCUUAGUAACGUGGUGCAGCCAUUUUCGCCCGUCAGCGCCCAAAUUGAUUGCUGCAUCCAUUUCAUUCAUGGCUCCUAUACCUCCCUUGAGGAUUCAGCUCCGGCAGAGAGAGAUCAAGAGAGCAGGCAAAAUGACCAGUCAUCGAAACCUUCCUGGAAAACAAAGAUCUUUCCAAUCUAAUCACUAUUUUGAAGAAGAUAUAAAGUUGAUCAUUGAUAUCUAUCAAUAUACCUCUUGUAUGAAUACUGUUUUUUAAUUUACUGAUCAAGGGAUAAAAUAUAUUUCAGAUGACAUUUGAUGUAGUCUGUCAUUUUUCAAUGAGUAUAAGAGGAUAGUUACUCUAAUAUCAUACUGAUGUUACUCGGACAUGAUGUCCGUGUAACAUAGGUAACUGGAGGUGUUGAGGUGAAUAUAGACCAUAAAUCUUGCAGGUUUCCUUUCAAUUGUGUUAUCAUCUCAUUAAAUAUGUUUCAUGCAUCAAUUAAUUGGCACAUUUCAUGGAAUGUAGCCAAGAUUUUCUAUGCAAGAGAAAAGAUUACCCUUUAGAAAAAAACAUGAUCUGAAGAUUGCUAGUUCCUCAUUUGUUUCAUGUUUAUAAAUUGAUAUUAUGUUGCUGUGUUCAAGUUUUAAGUAUUCUAAACUAUUGCUCCCAUCAUCUAAAUGUUUUCCACACACAAAAAAGUGGAGUACAGACUGUGACAAAGUUUCAGAUCAGAAAAUAAAUGAGCAAGUAAAAAAA
rnacentral:lncRNA from 1 species